UCAUCAAGGGGCAAAAUAAUCCUGGUUUUGGGCAUCAGGGUAUUGGACACCAUGGAAGGAGACCCAUUCACUUCUCUUACUCUUUUCCACCUCCCUCUUACUAAUCCAACCACCUAUUCCACUUCUAGCGAGUUUUUGUAUUUUUGAACUAUUUUUUCCUUUCAUACCAUUUGAUUAGCACUUAAACAUUUUUCCUUGCUGGCAAGUUCAUUGCCUCUGUACAAGAUCUCCAAGGAGUAGUGGGACAUUAUUUCCAUCAUAUAUCAGCUUGCGAACAAAAAUGGCAAAUACCUCGAGCUCAUAGAAAAAAACAUCCACUUCAUCAAGCACGAACUUAUGGCCUUUCAAGAAUACUUUUUGAAGAAGAAGCCAUUAAAGCCCGAAAACCACUUUUUCUGCUUACAAGAAACAAAAUGAUCAAUUACAAAAGGAAAAUAAAGGUUGCCUAUCAAUGAUGUGGAAAAAGAAAAAGAACAAGACGAGAUAGUCAAGCCUUUGGACUAGAAAAAGAGAACCGAGGCCUUUGGUGCCUCUUCAUCCGGUCCUACCAUUGCUAUCAGGGCAAUUUGCCCACCUCCAUAUCAGAUACCCAUCUAAGUGAAAAUUUCUACAAAUUCUCCUCAUCCUCCUCUCAUUGCCCAGCAUUCUAGAAGCACUAUUUAGCUAAGCUUGCAUCCUAUGAAAAUGAAUGAGAUGAAGGAGCAUGAAUUUCAAGGCAAAAAAGUCUGUGAAUCCACCUUGAAACGACAAAGUAAAUUAUUUUUUCAGGGUCAAUAGUAAGGAGCUCGCAAAAGAUGCAACUACAAUACUUCUUUUGAAGAUACUAGGCUAUAGCGAUUUAUUACAAAUACUGCAUUGAGAGGUGGCAAAAUCAAGUUGCCUCUUACUAGGCUAAAAUCUCCUGUAGAUAAAUAAUGCUUGUGUGGCUCAUGGUCUAGGGAUUGGCCUCAUUACUCAAGAUUUGUUGCAUGAUUUUCAAAAUCGAAAUAAGCAUUGAUGGAUCGAUUAGAGGCCUCCUCUAAGCUGGAGGAAAAGUUGAUGAAAGUGAAGGCAUAAGGUAAAAACGUCGAGCUUGCUUAUGAAAACGUAGGUUAAGAUGAGUUGGAUUUUGUUGAGUUCAAGGUUAGUCGCUUUGAAAUAGAACUAUAUUAAGUUGAUCUCAAGUGUCUACCUUAGUCAAGAUGGUCAACUAAUCCAAUAAACACAAACGCCUCAUAGAUAAAACCCUGUAAGCCUUGAAAAAAGAAAAGAGAUAGAGAUGAGGCAGAUUGAGAGGCUCAAAAUGAAGAAAUUAAAUCUUUGAAGGCUAAUAUGGCUAUGGUAGGUGAAGUAGCAAUCAAGAACUAUGUUGAUAACUUUGAAAAGACUAAGAAUUAUGACAACUUUGCCAACUAUUGAGCCUUCAAAAAUCUUUGAAAGCUGAGGUGGCUCGGAUGAGGGAGGCUCAUUUGGAAUCGAAUAUCAACUUUUAGGAGGAUAAGUUUAGUAGGGGCCAAUUGAAGAUCACCCAAACAUCAAGGCCAAUGCCAAUGAAGCUCAUGAUGAGACGAGGCGACUAAGCUGAAGCAAUGAUUGUUGUAGAUGUAGUGGUACAUCCUUAGGCUACCUUUCUUUUUUCAUUUCACUAAACUUUUUGUAAAGGCUUGGGACUCCUCAUUUGUAAUCUAUCUUCCCAUCAAUGAAAAUUUUAUUUUCAAAGGGUUA